UACGUAGGUGGCAAGCGUUGUCCGGAUUUACUGGGCGUAAAGGGCGUGCAGGCGGUCUGUUAAGUCUAGGGUGAAAGCUCCCGGCUCAACUGGGAGAGGUCCUUGGAUACUGGCAGACUUGAGGAGAGUAGAGGAGAGUGGAAUUCCCGGUGUAGUGGUGAUAUGCGUAGAUAUCGGGAGGAACACCAGUGGCGAAGGCGGCUCUCUGGGCUCUACCUGACGCUGAGACGCGAAGGCGUGGGGAGCGAACGGG
rnacentral:rRNA from 1 species